ACCCAGGUGGCUCAGUGGUAAAGAAUUUGCCUGCCAAUGCAAGAGAUGAGGGAGACGCAGGUUCUCUCCCUGGGUA
rnacentral:tRNA from 1 species